rnacentral:rRNA from 1 species
GUGGUAAUACCGGAUGCUCCGCUCCAUCGCAUGGUGGGGUGGGAAAUGCUUUUGCGGCAUGGGAUGGGGUCGCGUCCUAUCAGCUUGUUGGCGGGGUGAUGGCCCACCAAGGCGUUGACGGGUAGCCGGCCUGAGAGGGUGACCGGCCACAUUGGGACUGAGAUACGGCCCAGACUCCUACGGGAGGCAGCAGUGGGGAAUAUUGCACAAUGGGCGCAAGCCUGAUGCAGCGACGCCGCGUGCGGGAUGGAGGCCUUCGGGUUGUAAACCGCUUUUGUUCAAGGGCAAGGCACGGUUUCGGCCGUGUUGAGUGGAUUGUUCGAAUAAGCACCGGCUAACUACGUGCCAGCAGCCGCGGUAAUACGUAGGGUGCGAGCGUUAUCCGGAUUUAUUGGGCGUAAAGGGCUCGUAGGCGGUUCGUCGCGUCCGGUGUGAAAGUCCAUCGCCUAACGGUGGAUCUGCGCCGGGUACGGGCGGGCUGGAGUGCGGUAGGGGAGACUGGAAUUCCCGGUGUAACGGUGGAAUGUGUAGAUAUCGGGAAGAACACC